GGGGGCGAAACGGCUUCGACGGGGACAAAGAAGCUCCGGCUGCAUACCGAGCAUUUCUGUCAGCUCGUAAAUCCGACGGGAACUAAACAUAAUCGCAGAUGAUUAUGCAUAUGCUCAGGCCGCAUAAAUAGGCCUGCGUCCUGUCAGGUUACUCCUGCGGACCUGAUAAGGGCGUCGACUAGCGGGAUAGUCGAUCCUGGCUGCCUGUGACAGAAUCGACGAAACUUUAGCAGGCUGGCCUUGCACGCAUCCUGCCUGAAGGAGACUUGAAAGGCGAAAUUUAAAUUUCAGGAUAAGUAUGUAGACGCCCGAGUGGAAUGUUUGCGGACGCGGGUUCGACUCCCGCCGCCUCCACCA
rnacentral:tmRNA from 1 species